UACGAAGGGGGCUAGCGUUGCUCGGAAUCACUGGGCGUAAAGCGCACGUAGGCGGGUUGUUAAGUCGGGGGUGAAAUCCUGGAGCUCAACUCCAGAACUGCCUUCGAUACUGGCGACCUUGAGUCCGGGAGAGGUGAGUGGAACUCCGAGUGUAGAGGUGAAAUUCGUAGAUAUUCGGAAGAACACCAGUGGCGAAGGCGGCUCACUGGCCCGGUACUGACGCUGAGGUGCGAAAGCAUGGGGAUCGAACAGG
rnacentral:rRNA from 1 species